UACGUAGGGUGCAAGCGUUGUCCGGAAUUAUUGGGCGUAAAGAGCUCGUAGGCGGUCUGUUGCGUCGGCUGUGAAAACCCGGGGCUCAACUCCGGGCCUGCAGCCGAUACGGGCAGACUAGAGUUCGGCAGGGGAGACUGGAAUUCCUGGUGUAGCGGUGAAAUGCGCAGAUAUCAGGAGGAACACCCAUGGCGAAGGCAGCUUCCUGGGUCCAAUCUGACGCUGAGGCGCGAAAGCGUGGGGAGCGAACGGG
rnacentral:rRNA from 1 species